CAUCACCACAGUGAACCCUACAAUCAUAUUGAAUAACCAAUCUCGUCAGAGGAUACGUCGUCAUCCAGAAAAAGUGGUCGUCUCAUGUCUUUUCAGACCAGAUGGGGGAGAAAUAUAACCCCUUUGAGAUAAAAAGCCUAACAGAUCAUAUUAAUUUGAAUGUCAUGCAAAGAUAUUUUGAUGUGCAUUUUCACAUAUUUCAUUAGAUAAUAUCAUGCUUCUUGAAUAAACCUCAACGUAUCAUUUCUUGCAACUCAUCAUAUUCAUAUCAUUUAUCCAUUUAAUUUCAAUCACAAGUAUGUUACUAAUCAUGUAAAUAUCAUA
rnacentral:lncRNA from 1 species